rnacentral:lncRNA from 1 species
GCCUUGGCAACGCCGGGCAGCCCUGCUGCUGUCUGUCUGUCAGGCUUGGUCAGAACCACAGACGUGACACACGAUGCAUUUGCAGUUACACUGAAUGCUGACAAGGCAGAGGUUUAUUGACACAGCUUCCAAACGCACUCCUUUGUAAGGCUGCAGUGAUGUCUGCUCUAUGGAAAUGAAAGCAUCUUCUUUUGGAGGUGAAUGCUUUCCUAGACACAGUUUGCCCUAUAUCGGGAUGUGAAUUUCAUAUCACUUUCAUCCAAAAGAAAACCAUGAGCAGCCAGGCACGAGGUAUGUUGGUCUUUACCAGAGGCCUGUUGCUAUGGCAGUAGAAGUCUGCAAGAGGAAACUGAGGCAAGGCCAUGGUAUGACUAAAA